UGUAGUCAUAUGCUUGUCUCAAAGAUUAAGCCAUGCAUGUCUAAGUAUAAGCAAUUAUACAGCGAAACUGCGAAUGGCUCAUUAAAUCAGUUAUCGUUUAUUUGAUAGUACCUUACUACAUGGAUAACCGUGGUAAUUCUAGAGCUAAUACAUGCUAAAAACCCCGACUUCGGAAGGGGUGUAUUUAUUAGAUUAAAAACCAAUGCCCUUCGGGGCUCCCUGGUGAUUCAUAAUAACUUCUCGAAUCGCACGGCCUUGCGCCGGCGAUGGUUCAUUCAAAUUUCUGCCCUAUCAACUUUCGACGGCAGGGUCUUGGCCUGCCAUGGUGACAACGGGUAACGGAGGGUUAGGGCUCGACCCCGGAGAAGGAGCCUGAGAAACGGCUACUACAUCCAAGGAAGGCAGCAGGCGCGCUAAUUACCCAAUCCCGACUCGGGGAGGUAGUGACAAUAAAUACUGAUACAGGGCUCUUUUGGGUCUUGUAAUUGGAAUGAGUACAAUUUAAAUCCCUUAACGAGGAACAAUUGGAGGGCAAGUCUGGU
rnacentral:rRNA from 1 species